rnacentral:rRNA from 1 species
UACGUAGGGUGCGAGCGUUGUCCGGAAUUAUUGGGCGUAAAGGGCUCGUAGGCGGUUUGUCGCGUCGGGAGUGAAAACGCCGUGCUUAACACGGCGCUUGCUUUCGAUACGGGCAGACUAGAGGUAUGCAGGGGAGAACGGAAUUCCUGGUGUAGCGGUGAAAUGCGCAGAUAUCAGGAGGAACACCGAUGGCGAAGGCGGUUCUCUGGGCAUUACCUGACGCUGAGGAGCGAAAGUGUGGGGAGCGAACAGG